rnacentral:rRNA from 1 species
ACAAUGGAGAGUUUGAUCCUGGCUCAGGAUUAACGCUAGCGGCAGGCCUAAUACAUGCAAGUCGAACGGCAGCGGGUCCAGCAAUGGAUGCCGGCGAGUGGCGCACGGGUGCGUAACACGUAUGCAAUCUACCUUUAACUGGGGGAUAGCCCCGAGAAAUCGGGAUUAAUACCCCAUAACAUUAUGGUGAGGAGUCUCACUAUAAUUAAAGCUCCGGCGGUUUUAGAUGAGCAUGCGCGACAUUAGCUAGUUGGUGAGGUAACGGCUCACCAAGGCUUCGAUGUCUAGGGGUUCUGAGAGGAUUCACCCCCACACUGGUACUGAGACACGGACCAGACUCCUACGGGAGGCAGCAGUAAGGAAUAUUGGUCAAUGGACGCAAGUCUGAACCAGCCAUGCCGCGUGAAGGAAGACGGCCCUACGGGUUGUAAACUUCUUUUGUACGGGAAAAAACCACCGGUCGUGAACCGGUGCUGAUGGUACCGUAAGAAUAAGCAUCGGCUAACUCCGUGCCAGCAGCCGCGGUAAUACGGAGGAUGCAAGCGUUAUCCGGAUUCAUUGGGUUUAAAGGGUGCGCAGGCGGAAUGAUAAGUCAGUGGUGAAAUCCUACAGCUCAACUGUAGAACUGCCAUUGAUACUGUUAUUCUUGAGUACACUUGGAGUGGGCGGAAUGUGUCAUGUAGCGGUGAAAUGCUUAGAUAUGACACAGAACACCGAUCGCGAAGGCAGCUCACUAAAUUGUAACUGACGCUCAUGCACGAAAGCGUGGGGAUCAAACAGGAUUAGAUACCCUGGUAGUCCACGCCGUAAACGAUGAUCACUCGAUGUUGGCGAUAUACUGUCAGCGUCUAAGGGAAACCAUUAAGUGAUCCACCUGGGGAGUACGAUCGCAAGAUUGAAACUCAAAGGAAUUGACGGGGGCCCGCACAAGCGGAGGAGCAUGUGGUUUAAUUCGAUGAUACGCGAGGAACCUUACCUGGGCUAGAACGCUGGGCGACCGUCCGGGAAACCGGAUUUCUCUUCGGAGCGGCCAGCGAGGUGCUGCAUGGUUGUCGUCAGCUCGUGCCGUGAGGUGUCGGGUUAAGUCCCAUAACGAGCGCAACCCCUAUCAUUAGUUGCCAUCAGGUCAUGCUGGGAACUCUAGUGAAACUGCCUACGCAAGUAGUGAGGAAGGUGGGGAUGACGUCAAAUCAGCACGGCCCUUACGUCCAGGGCUACACACGUGCUACAAUGGCCGGUACAAAGGGCAGCUACCUGGUGACAGGAUGCUAAUCUCAAAAACCGGUCUCAGUUCGGAUCGAAGUCUGCAACUCGACUUCGUGAAGUUGGAUUCGCUAGUAAUCGUAUAUCAGCAAUGAUACGGUGAAUACGUUCCCGGGCCUUGUACACACCGCCCGUCAAGCCAUGGGAGUUGGGGGUACCUAAAGUACGUGACCGCAAGGAGCGUCCUAGGGUAAAACCAAUGACUGGGGCUAAGUCGUAACAAGGUAGCCGUACCGGAAGGUGCGGCUGGAAUACCUCCUUU